GACGAACGCUGGCGGCGUGCCUAAUACAUGCAAGUAGAACGCUGAAGGAGGAGCUUGCUCUUCUGGAUGAGUUGCGAACGGGUGAGUAACGCGUAGGUAACCUGCCUGGUAGCGGGGGAUAACUAUUGGAAACGAUAGCUAAUACCGCAUAACAGUAGAUGUUGCAUGACAUUUGCUUAAAAGGUGCAAUUGCACCACUACCAGAUGGACCUGCGUUGUAUUAGCUAGUUGGUGGGGUAACGGCUCACCAAGGCGACGAUACAUAGCCGACCUGAGAGGGUGAUCGGCCACACUGGGACUGAGACACGGCCCAGACUCCUACGGGAGGCAGCAGUAGGGAAUCUUCGGCAAUAGACGGAAGUCUGACCGAGCAACGCCGCGGGAGUGAAGAAGGUUUUCGGAUCGUAAAGCUCUGUUGUAAGAGAAGAACGAGUGUGAGAGUGGAAAGUUCACACUGUGACGGUAUCUGACCAGAAAGGGACGGCUAACUACGUG
rnacentral:rRNA from 1 species